rnacentral:misc_RNA from 1 species
CGCCCCCAUGGCAUGCCAUUAUUGAGUGAACCAUUUCCUGGAGAAAGUGGCCCCCCAGAAUUAAAAUUGGGUUCUGGGGGCUGGACCUUGAUAUGAUUCCAUUCACUACCCCGAACAGCAGAUCUCCCAUGACUGAAGCGUGGAAGAGAUUGCUGUCCCAAACGACUUGGUGAAUUUUGCGAGAUAUGAGGCAUGAAGUGAGAAGGCUUUGACAUUGGACGGCCAUAUCCAGCAUGCAUAUCAUGAGNNNNNNNGCCCACUUCAGUGUGUGUAAAUGCUUGAAUAGGUCCAUUUUGUCUCUGAAUCAAUGAAUUCGAACUUUGGUUUGAUGCCCGGUAGGAUCUUCCAAAACCAACCGAUGAAUCACCUGAACCAAGACGCAUGCCUUUGCUGAACUCAAUGCCUAUGGAAUUGACAUCUGAACCAUCCUCUUGUAGAAGAAGUUCAUCACUGUAAUUGGGAUCCCAAUCCCCUGGAUCUGGCAAUGA